AUCGCCAAGUGGUAAGGCAACGGACUCUGACCCCGUUAUUCGUAGGUUCGAAUCCUACUGGU
rnacentral:tRNA from 1 species